rnacentral:lncRNA from 1 species
GACAAUUCAUUCAUCUCCUUACAAUUAAGACAUCUUCCUACAACCCAUUCUCAAUUCUUCAUUCUUCUACUCUUAAAUUCCACAACAAGAGAAUCGUUACUUGCUACGGAAUCACUAAAACCACACGCCAAACACCUACUAUUCACGCCAUCCACCAUGCAAAACGUGAUAUCCUUCGCAUUCAUGGGUAACUAAAUCUCUUAGUUGGGGUUAUGGAAGCCGAAUGAGUUACUAUCUAUAGCUAUGAGUUUGUGAGUUCAAGACAAGUAUAUUGCUUAUAUCAUUAUUCUCUUCAUCUUAAAUCUACAUUCUUUGCGGUUCAAACACAAGAACACGCCAUUCUAACAUCUAACCUGUUCGAGAGAAAGGUUAUUUGUCUAGAAAAGAAGACGCAUAGACCAACGCCAGUCUAACAUCUGACUUGUUCGAGAGAAAAGUUAUUUGUCUGGAAAAGAGAUAAUGUCAAGGUAGUAGGACACCCUUUCCUAUUAAAAAGCUAGUGCCGUACCUGGACUAACUUCUUGGAG